GAGAGAGAGAAAGAGAGAGAGAUAGAGAGAAGAGAGAAGGGGGUGAGGUUGGAUUGUUCAAUACCUGGAAUUAAACUUUCUUAUCUGGAAAGUUGAAUGGUGUACAGGAGUCUUGUUCCUUAACACUUCUUUUAGCACUUCUUCCUUGGUGUGAUUAACUUUGCUUCAAGUUUACUUGAAUGAUUUUGGUCCCCGCUUAGCUAAAUACUAACAAUACCUGUUUACUGCCUUGUUUAGAUUGUAGUGUGGAGUCCUUGUUCAUUUGGUCUUGAGAUCAUCUAUUAUUUAU
rnacentral:misc_RNA from 1 species